ACGGAGGGUGCAAGCGUUAUCCGGAUUUAUUGGGUUUAAAGGGUGCGUAGGCGGUUAUAUAAGUCAGCGGUGAAAUUUUUCGGCUCAACCGGAAACAUGCCGUUGAUACUGUAUAGCUUGAAUAUGGUUGCUGUGAGUGGAAUGUGUAGUGUAGCGGUGAAAUGCUUAGAUCUUACGCAGAAUACCGAUGGUGAAGGCAACUCACAAGGCCAUUAUUCACGCUGAGGCACGAAAGUGUGGGAAUAAAACAG
rnacentral:rRNA from 1 species